UACGUAGGGAGCAAGCGUUAUCCGGAUUUAUUGGGUGUAAAGGGCGCGUAGACGGUUGGAUAAGUUAGUUGUGAAAUACCUGUGCUUAACGCAGGAAGUGCAACUAAAACUGUCUUACUUGAGUAUGGGAGAGGAAAGCGGAAUUCCUAGUGUAGCGGUGAAAUGCGUAGAUAUUAGGAGGAACAUCAGUGGCGAAGGCGGCUUUCUGGACCAAAACUGACGUUGAGGCGCGAAAGUGUGGGGAGCAAACAGGAUUAGAUACCCUGGUAGUCCACACUGUAAACGAUGGAUACUAGGUGUAGGAUGGAUUAAACCGUUCUGUGCCGGCGCAAACGCAAUAAGUAUCCCACCUGAGUAGUACGACCGCAAGGUUAAA
rnacentral:rRNA from 1 species